AGGGAAUAGCCUCUGUUCUGCAGCGUAGGUCCGAUAACGAGGAGUAUGUGGAGGUUGGACGCCUCGGACCCUCUGACUACUUUGGUGAGAUCGCCCUCCUGUUGAACCGUCCCAGGGCAGCCACCGUAGUCGCUCGUGGUCCGCUGAAGUGUGUGAAGCUGGACCGGCCUCGCUUUGAGCGUGUGCUGGGUCCGUGCUCAGAGAUCCUCAAGAGGAACAUCCAGAGAUACAACAGCUUCAUCUCCCUCACAGUGUGACACCUCAGCCCCUCUGGGCUCCACCAGCAGGGGUGGGCAGCAUCAGCAUCAGAGUUUGGGUCUGUGGGUAGGGUGAGGUUAGGAGAAGGGGUAAAGGACAUGGGUUUUACAUCCACAACUACAGGGCGCUCAUUUCCUGCCUUUUUCCCAUGUUGCUCGUUUAUUUUCUUUUGAUCUUGUGCACUUUGACUUGACCUGUGCUGUCACGUAGCUUUAUGUCAAAAUCAACAUGCAGGAGUGUAAAAAUCAGAUAAUACAGGUAAAUGAGUCAUUUGUACAGUGUGGCAACUGUAUAUAUGAUGCAUGCUUCUAAACUGACAGAGAAGGGUGUUUUCACUUUCAUGAAUUUAUGAAGGGUACAGUCGAAUUCAGGAAAAACGAAGGAAGUGAAGUCAUGUUUACGUCCAGUUGUUUGCCUAUUUUUUUCACAGUGUGAAAGAAAAAAAAAUGUGGCUGUUUCAUUUUUAGUGCUUCUUAUGUGUGCUUUUACUGCUAUUAUCAGUUGGGGGAUUUAUUAAAGGCAGUGAUAUGUUGAGUUAAGAUUAUGUCAGCCGAAUAACAGCUUUUUCUCAAAAAAAUCCUUUCUGUUCUCAGUCUGAUCUAUGAGCUGUGGGAUUCCAAAAGAGCAGUAAAUGUUAUCAGUCCGGUCCACAAAAACACAAACAACCUGACAUGAAACACACAACUGUUCUCUAUAUGCUUGCACUGUCUCAGGACUAGGUCAAUCCUCAAAACACACACACACACACACACACACACACACACACACACACACACACACGCACGCACACACACACACACACACACACACACACACACACACACACGUCUUUCCUGUUGCUUUCUUACGCUGUUUUAGUUUUAUGUUACAGUAAAUUGCUAGAUGACAGCUUUUGCACCACUUAAGAGUUUGUAAUGUUGGUUCAAUACUGAUGUUUGAUUUAGCACUUUUUAAGACAUUACUUAUAUGAUAUAAUUAUAUAAAAUAAAUAUGUAAAAAAAUAUGUAUUUGUGUUGCUUUCCUUUGAUCUAAUGUUAUCUGUCAAAGAUGCACAACUGACCCAGUGACCAAUGUUGUAUACAAUGGGACCUUAUGAAAAGAAUAUUUCUAUAUUCUCUCUCUUUAUGUCUUUCUUUCAACUAUCAACCAUCUUGGGCAAAUAAAGAUUAGCUUCUGAAA